rnacentral:lncRNA from 1 species
UCUUUACUUUCAUUAAUUACUUUAUUCAUUUCUUAAAUAUUUUGAUAGUAAUUGUUGUCUGUAAAGUUUUUCUUCAGUUGUCCUAUUGUAUUUCUCGGAGUGCGUGCCCUUGUUUUGUUUACUCUACGUGGUCCUACAACUACAGUAUUUUAAAAGUAGUGUGGUAACAAUUGUUGUUUAAACAGAAAAAUGCAAAAUACACAUUUGUCUAGGAAUUGUUUAAGUAAAAGGAAUAAAGAAAGCAUGAAAACUUGCAAGUUCACCAUGGUAUAAACAUUAUACUAAUGACCUCUGCCAUGUGACUUGAGUAUGUAUCUUGGUCCUUUUGUGUUAAUCCACGAUUUACGUUUUUGAGUAAUGUACUCUUAAUACUUGAUAGUAUAUAGUAUAAAGGUUAAUUAAUACAUGUACUCGUUCUGAUUUUUCAAUUACACACUUAAAUGUUUCAAAUUAUUUGGUCCUACAUACUUUUAAGCAGCUGGCGAAUUGGUGUCCUCACGACAGAAUUUUUGUCUUCUUUCUUGUACCUAAAAGUAAUGUUUCCUUGUAGAAUGUGUAUCUUUUCACUUUCAAAAGUCGUAAGUGAGACUAUUCACCACUUAAUAGGUUUGAAAUUUUAUCACAAUGGUUGAAAAGAUGCUUGAAAACAAAAUGAGCUUUUUCUUCUAUUUCAUACAGUACUAGUUUUGUUCAUACUCACUCAUAUUGGACUUAAAACAUCAAACACCUACUUAUCAUAUUGGGCCUCUACUGGACUAAUAAGUUGUGUUUGCCAUUGCAGUAUCUUUGUGGAUGACGUCCCAAUUAGAGCAUUCAAGAACUCAAAAGAUCUUGGUGUGAAAUUUCCAUUCAAUCAGCCCAUGAAGAUAUACUCAAGUUUAUGGGACGCAGAUGAUUGGGCCACAAGAGGUGGGCUUGAGAAAACAGACUGGUCCAAUGCCCCGUUUACAGCCUCAUACACAUCGUUCCACAUCGACGGCUGUGAAGCUGCCACGCCACAAGAAGUCCAAGUUUGUAACACCAAAGGCAUGAGAUG